UUUAGAGAAUUUGGUGUUGAUGGUAGUUAAUUGGUAGAUUCUAUUCCAAAUGGUGCAAAUCUGUUGUUGGACUUGGAAAUAACUAUAGGACGAUUUAAAGAUACCAGGAUGACAAUUGUGUACGUCAGACGCACGUUUCGUCUACAAAAGACUCACUAGUGACGCUGGAAUAAAAAAAAGUCAUAAAGGGCAAAUAAAUUACGAAGUUGAAGAGCAUAGAAGACCCAAACUUCCGAAAGAUUUUUGCCAAAUACAGCUAAGCUGUUGAACUUAGUUUCCCACCAUUUCCUGUUUAAUGUCUUUAAGUGAUUGUCUAACAUUCUGAUGAGAAAGUGAAACUCCAAGAACGAAGCCGAUGGCAAGCCCAAUUCCAAAUACAACUAUGGCAGUAGUUCCAGAGGCGGAAGCAAGCACUUGUCCGCCCUUUUCAAUAGCUGCUAUACUAGGAACGGUAGGCAUACCUUUG